UACGUAGGGUGCAAGCGUUGUCCGGAAUUAUUGGGCGUAAAGAGCUCGUAGGCGGUUUGUCGCGUCUGCUGUGAAAACGCGAGGCUCAACCUCGCGCCUGCAGUGGGUACGGGCAGACUAGAGUGCGGUAGGGGAGAUUGGAAUUCCCGGUGUAGUGGUGGAAUGCGUAGAUAUCGGGAGGAACACCAGUGGCGAAGGCGGUUGCCUGGAGCUUUGCUGACGCUGAUGCGCGAAAGCGUGGGGAGCGAUCCGG
rnacentral:rRNA from 1 species